GAAUCCCAGCAUGGCGGCGGGAGGGGGAAUGUGAGGAGAUGUGAGAUGUGAGGAGAUGUGAGAUGUGAGGUGAAGGAGCGGGAUGGAGCCGGCAGUGUAUUGCGGGGCUGCGUUAAAUACAGAUUUAAAGCAGGCUUGGUCAGCCUUGUCCAUAAAGCUGAUGCUUUAAGAAGGAUCCUACGAACAUUGUGUUCCUUCAUCCGGCAACUUUUCCAAGUAAGAAUAUUCUAUUCAGGCCGGUUUCUUCCGUUCCCCUCCUGCUGACAGUUAAUGAUAUGGAAUCUGAACCAUGCUGACAAUGGCAAGUGCAGCGGCUCCACCCUAGAAAGCAAAGCAGACAAAGCAGAGUGACCAUGGGAUACAUGUAAAGUAUCCAGCUCAGCAAGAUCUAUAUAUUAUAUAUAUAUAUAUAUAUAGACCAUAUAAAAGCAAAGUCUGAGCAAACUGCCCAAGCCAAAACUGAAAUUUUUAUCCUGUGGUGGUUCUUAAGGUGGUUUUGGGGUGGGUACAGUUAAUUUUGUAAGUCGAGUCUAUUCAAAUUCAUCAUUAUUUCACCUUUAAUCUUUUGUACAACACAGUUCAACAAUACUUGCGCUGUGUGAGCAGUGCAGCUCUUUCCUAUCGCGUGGAUGAAUUUACGUGGGUACAAAGCCUGCUUCUGUUAACACGACUUUUCCCCUUCGUGUUAGAGAACAGAACUGUCCUGAGACACAGAGAACGUUGAGUUGUGUGCUUGUGUCUGUGCCAGAUCUGUACAGGAGCAGGACCUGAUUUACACACAGCUCAGGUGCUCUGGAGGGUGUGCUCUCACUCUGAUGUCAAAGAGUGCAGUGUUUUCAUCCUCAGUCCAGGGUCACCGUUGUAUCUGAUCAACCUUUACACACAGCAUCAUUUGAUCUGGUUCUGAUAAGCCUGCUGAAAAUGAAGUACAUUGCGUGCUACCGACUCAGCUGUUUUGCCUCCAGACCGUCCAUCUUUCAGCUGGCAUCGAUUUCACACAGAGCUGCUAAAACCUUUUUGCGCGAUCCUGAAUGUUUCCUGAGAGAUUCAACUCUCUGGGGACUUCAAGACUCCAGUCUGACAUGUGGGUUGUUGAACCGCGGCGCCGUGUAUCCAGAAAGCUCCCUGACACAGCACCUGGGCAUGGUCUGCCCCAGUCAUGGAAAUGCGAGGAACUGAUGGUGAGAACAGCAACGCUUCCUAAAGAAAUGGUGAAUAACUUUGCCAAGGGGAGCUGGUCACUGCCCCUUUGUUUUUAUGAACAGUCUGGAAUUGCACUUAAGCAGCUGUAUGUGGUCAGGAUGUUAACCAGCUAUACAAAAGAAAGCCAGCUCAGGAGAUGAAGCAGCAACUUGAAGGCCCUGCUGCAAUGCUGACAGCACAGUGACUCAGACAGAUGCCACCCACUGAACCUCCUUGGAUGCUGGGCUCCACCCCGCAGCCUCCUUGGAUGAGAUGCAACAGAUGCACACGCUUCCCUUCCCAUGCACGCAUUUCCAAUUCACACAGAGAGCGAUGAGUGUGUAUAUAUACACACACACACACAUUAUACAUCGACAUUUAAAUAUAAUAUACCGCCAGAGUUCUGAUUUUUUAAAUAUCUGAAGGAUGUGGUAUCUUGGAAACCAAUUGCUUCAAGUUGCCCAAAUCAAUUACAGAGUGAAUCAACACAUUGCUUCAGCGUGGGAGUAGCGAGCAGCUGGUGAUGCUGCUGUCCCCAUCCUCGGGGGAUGCGGGGCUCUGCCAGCCCCCAGGUGCCCACCCCCAGCCAUGCCCAGCACUGCAGCCACAGGGCAAUGGGCACAGAGUGAGCAGCUGCAGGGAGUGCUCAGUGUGACACCAUGGCUGGUGCCUUCACUUGGAAGGUGUAUGAGGGUCAAAGAGGGGAUAAUCCAUUAAACAGUAUACAGAGGUGAUUUAACUCCUUGAUAUGAGUAUUUGCGCUCAGCUGAAUUAUUUCAUUACCUGACUGCUCAGCAAUCAAACCAAAGCAAUCCGCCAAGCAUUAUUUUCUCAUAUUUUCUCUACUGACGUCAUUCAGGCAAAUAAGAUUCUGCAAAUGAAGUCAUGUGUGUUUGUCCUAUUUCCUAAUGAGGGAACAUCAUAGUGGGCACUGAGUGAGCUCAUAGCACACUGACGUCAGCAGGAGAUGACAUUUCCAGGGCAGCACUUGGAGAUUUAUGAUGUAGAUAAAUGAACAUUUUAACAGAGCUGAAAUCAGAAAGCUGUGGUUCUGAAGCGCGAUCCUGAGGCACGAGAAAGGAUAUACGUUCAUUUCUGACAGCCCUGAGCUCAGCCGGGAGGCAGAAGGCAGAGCUAGAAGGGAGUCUGCCUCCAAUACAGGGGUGGUCACCAGCUCCUUAUUGCAACUCCGAGUGUGUUGGUUUUGUUCCCCUCAGAUCGGUUUUGCUUUUAACUAAUGGUCCAGAACUGGGAUUAUAUGGCUUGGAGAGUGUGGGAUGCUGAGAGAAGAGAUUGCUGAGCUAAACAGUUGGCAGAAUUAAGAGAACCAGAAAGACACGUGGGCAUAAAGAAAUAAUUCACUAUUAAACUGCUGGCAGAAUUCAUGAAGUGUGUUUGCAGUUAAGAUCACAGUGAGCCAUUUACUCGCUGUUAUUGGAAAUAAGGCCCACCAGCAAAGGCAGUUUGCUUACAGUGGCUUUGCAAAUACGACAGAGCAAGAAGCUGGUGGGUCUUGCUGCUCUCAUUCUUCUGCAUGCUGCGUGUCCGAGAGCUCUCUGGGUAACUGCUGAGUUAAGUGGUGCAGGAGCAGCAAGGAUUCACCUCCUGUUUCAUCCACACAGACUUGAGAGAUAAAAUCCAAGGGCUGAUGCUGUUUUCUGGGUUAGGGCUUUACGUACAGCUCCUCUUGCCCUGAAAUACUGCUUCCCUUCAGGAGGAGGCAGAUGAUGCAGCUGGCCUCCUGCCCAAAUACUAACAGUGCAUUUUUGUUUCCAAGGCCUUCCAGGCCAAAAGACAGCGCUGGUUCUAGCAAGUGCCAGCACAGGAGCCCUCCCACAGCCCCGUCCCUGUUCUGAGGCCAGCUGUACCCAAAACACUGGUGAAGGAAGAGAUAACAGACCUUGCACCGACUUUCCCAUCGAACAGAAAGGAGCACAGAGUUGCAGAAAGGCUGAGAGCAGGAAAAACCUUCCUGCAAAAAAAGCAGGAGCUCCUGCUUCGCAGCAGCACAAAGCGAGAGCCCCAUUUGCCAGAGGGUGGCACGAGAGGCCGUGGGGCAGCUUUUACCUUUCUGAGCAGCACCUGGCACCACAGCCACAGCUUCAAUGCGUCACCUGGAGCAGCUCCCGGGGCACCUACACCUUCACUUCAACUGUGGAAGCGCAUCCCUCUGCUGAAGGACAGCACUGACACAAGUUUUCCAGACCUCUUCCUCGGUUACAGCCAGCUUCUUACCCAUACAACACAAGCGUUGUGAACCACAACAGCCGGAAGCAUUUUUCCCCUCUUACUGGGAGUUUUCUGCCGCCAGGUGGCAAUAGAACCACAGCCAGCAUCCCCCGCUACUCCAAAAUAAAGAAAUAAAGAAACGAAAUAGAACCUAAUUUCAGCGUGUCCCACAACCCUGUUGUUGUCGGACGUGUUUUCCUCCUGCUCAUUUCUCUGCUUUUCUGACUUCCAACAUCUCCUCCGCAUCCCACCCACAUAAGCCCAUAACGGCCCCUCCGCACCAAUGGCUUCUUGUUCGUCGUUUUCUAUGGGCACGUGAGGUCGGAUUGGGUCUUAAUGCCGCGUUUUGGAUGAAUUCAGUCACUUUCAUUCACAUCCGUUUUGUAGGUAAUUGUAAUCACACGGAACUGAAGUUUAAAGACCAACAAAUGAGGUGAGCACGCGUGUGCCCGCACAGCACAGAACAGCCAGCCAAAGCUCUGCUGCCACCUGCUUGAAAUAAAGCGAUAUAAACCGCACCAGAGCGACUCCUUACACAGCCGACAGCUGCAAACACGAGAGCGCAAAGUAAUUCCUUGGUGCCUUUUGGGGUCCCUCCUCACCAUCACAGCACAGGAUGCUGCUGAGGAAGGAGGUGCCAGGAAUAAGGGUGUCCAGCUUUGCACACGUCGGGCGUUAAGGCGACAAACAGAGAAACCAGAGAACGUGGUGUAGGAAAAGGAGUUCGUUCACCUUUAUUUCAUUUCGCCACAAUCCCAAACGUGACAGACGUAGAAAAAUAUCCUUGAGUCUCGUAGACAAAGUUACCAGCGCUAAAUAGCCCUUUGCUCUGACUGGGCGCUACAGAUACGUUUGUACAACGUUCCUUCCUCUCUUUCCUACAGAGGAAAAGCCGUCUCUAACCGAACACAUGCAUACGGGGUAUCUUCCAAAUGGAACCAAAUCAGCAUCGGGAAGAAACAAAAUCUCAUGGUGCACUUGGAGGAGAAAACAACUGAGAACAACCACAGGAAAGGAGUCAUUAACCAAAGACAUUUCAAAGCAAAUCCUGUGAACCGUCUGUGGGUAAGUUAAAGUCUCUGUGGCACAACUUCUCAGCAACAAAUUAAGGCAAAGACCGACAUCUUAUAUAAAAAUAGCUGAGCAGGCUUCUGGAGAAGGAAAUGAGCAUCUCUGUUAAUACAGCAUCAUAAAUACCCUUACAUGGACUGAACAACCACAAGAAAAGAAUCAAGAUAAACACAUGGUGUUAUUUCACCAGGCAUCCAUCUCUCCAAUAAGCCAAGAUCGAACAUCCUGGACUACAGCAGAGGUACAUCAGGUCAAGACUGAUAGUGGUUUGUUUUGCUAAACAUACAGAUACAGAUAACAGGGAUGCAGUACAAACACUAACGUAUCACAUUGAGCCACUCAGCCUACAAGCCUUGCUAGAUCGGCCCAGAAGGAAAUCACCCUCAUUUUAGGAUUGCUUUUAGUUGGUUAAUACAGACCAAGGUUUAAACUUCCUGAAGAAAAACGAAACCCAAUUGUGAAAUUAAAACAGAAAUCAUCGCGGCAGAAGAUUCACCACCUCUUCAUAAAUACAGCAGCUUGUUUAUAUGCCAGGAUCGGGCACCUUGGUUCUGCUGCCUCCCCACGUGUUUCAUAGACACAGACAUGGGGGCAAUGAUGGGGACUUGCUUCUUUUUAAGAUUACAUUAAAUGUCUGUGUUUACACGGGAGCUGUAGCUUGCUCCUGACCCAUUUUAAUGUCACGUUUGCUUACAAGCAAAUCCAAAUAGAUCUUAAAGGUUUUUAUGCAUAUGGUUAUUAAAAAAAUAAAUAAAACAGGAAAUGAAGAUACCAGAAACUAAAAUACGAGAGCGUUCUUUCCAGAUGUUGUACCUCAGAAAAAGCAAAAUCCUGCCCCUUGUCAUCACAUCACUGAGACUGACCCGUCCCUCUCAUCAGUUCAUCUGUGGUGCAUUAAGAAACGUCACAUAGUCAUUUGGUACCAGAGUAUUUCUAAGUGUAAUAUUCAUUCCUUACAAUAGCUGUACCACAACCCGCACAGCUGGGAAGAUUCACUGCGCUGCCCUUAAACAUUAAUAGAAAUAUUCACUACCGUUAACAUAUGCUGAUCUUUUUUCUCCCAAAGAUCACAUCUUCGUUAUUUCCCUGUCCACAGACUGAGACAAAUUACAUGAGAGAAAAACAGAACAAAACCCAAACCGAAUGUUUCACACAACUAAAAAACAGGCACAGAGUUAGAGGAUGCGUGUUGGAAAUAAUUUAUUGCCUAUAAAAGCUUUUUUUAUUUUAUUUUAUUUUCUUAAUUCACAUUUUCUGUGUUGUUUUAAAGGUGGUGUUAACGUUUCAGAGGUAGUGUGUGUAAAAUGAAAUACAGAACUGGAAAAGAUUUACUUCAUUCAGUAAUACAGUAAAACGUUCACCGUAACCAAAGCUCUGACCUGAAACCAUUUUCCUCACAGACAUUCUUAAGCAUCUUUUAUUGAGAAUGAAUGCAUUUCUGCCUAAAUCCCACACCCACCACUGCCCCUUUCACAUCUGCUGCCUUCUGACCACCGUGCCAGCCACCACCUCACAGACACAAACACUCUAGCCAAGAGUGGAACCCUAUUUAUUCUACCACUGAAAGCGCUUUACGGUACCGCUUGUUUGAUUUGCUCCUAAUUUUUAACAUUUGGCUCAUGUGCCAAAAUGUUCAUCACACCAUAAAACAUCUCCUCUUUGGCCUGGCAUCUGACAACUGAUCAACUUAUUAAGUGUUAGGAUGAUUUGGGGCAGAAAAGGCGGAGCCCUGAAAUGAAGGCUGAACAUCAGGCAGCUGCCAGUCCCCCCAAUGCGUAAAGCAGCCUCAUAGCUCCCAGCUGAUCCGAAGGAUCUGGGCAGCAGGACUGGAGGUAGUAAAUUAAGCUUUUGGUUGCUACGUUAUGGAUUCUUCAUGGUUCAGAUAUUCUGUGUGCUAUUCCAUUUAUGCAUAUUAUUUCUGUCUUCUGUCACUAUCCUGAGACCAACAGUCAGCUAUGACUACAGUACCUCUGGAAAAGUCAG